UAUUGUUCAUAAAGUGCUGAAAACUUUUCAUCAAAUACGUUGUAAGGAUGUACAAAAUAAAGCGGCAAAAUUAUUACUUGCACAAAUCCGAUUCUAAUUGAGGUUAGAGAAAAUUGAAACGUUUGUUUUUAUUAUUGAAUUUGACAUCUGACAGAAAUUGUAUCACUUCACUCUGGCGAAUCUCAUUACUAAUGAAGUCAAUACGAAUCGUUUUUGAAUACAUGCUCGAAUAUGAUUAAACGCAAGAAAACACCUCUGCAGACCUGCAAAAUAGUUAGACCAGUUUUGAAACGUCCUAUUUUAUAAUUCCAAAAUAGGCACUGAAUUGUCAGAAAUGACUGACGUUUUAUUUAUUUGAGGAGUUGAAAUUAUACAAUGAACCUGAUUUUUAAGAAUACAAGGAUGAGUCAAACAAAUCAAUACUAUUCUCAUUUGCUAACCUAAGCAUUCUAGUGAUGGUUUCAUUUAAGCCAUAUCUAGUAGGAUGUGGCGUACGGAAGUUAUACUAAACAGAUGAGGAAAAAUGAUAAAAUAUAUAGAAUCACAACCCUUACAACAUAUUUCUGAGAAUUUAGUGCCUACUAUUAUGGAAUUAUUCUACUAUAAGAGGGAAUAUGGGUACGCCUCGUUAUAAAAUUACGUCAUCGGUACGGCCAUUUCGAUGCCCAUAGAAAGAAAUUUGAAUGAUGGAAUUGUUUAUUAGACACCCACCAUUAUGACGGUUACAUCAUAUUUUGUCAAUUUCAUAACGAUACAUCACGAAAGUUGAUGAGUCUUUAAUGUAUAUAUUAUGGAUAUAAGUGCGUGUGUACCUCUUUUGCACCGAUUUCAAAGUUGGCAAACCCGGAGAUACAAAAUUAAUUUUGUGAAGCCUAAAUUUUUAAAAGCCACAGAAACAUUCUAAUGGACUGUCAGAGUUCAUUCGUCAGUCAAAAUUACAAAAUGCACAAAACUGAAACGAACAUAUGAUUCGUAAUACUUUCUGAACUUCUACAAGUAAAAGGUGUGUAAACAAAACAAAUAAAUAAAAACUCGCUAAUAACACUUGAGACACAAUUAAAUUGCCUUCAUUGGAAUAACGAAGAUCCGUGUGUAUUCCAGUGUUUCCAAAUUUUCUAAUGUUUUAUAUGGAUCUCACCCAACUUUAAUACCAUAUGAAUGUUGCAGCAACAUCCUGGAUAAUUCCAGCCUCCCACAGUUAAAACAGCGAUUUGAACGUCAAAGAUAUGGAUAUAGUCAAAUACAAACUUGAUUCAUAUUCCAAAAUAUUUCAUGAUUUGAUUAACCAACCAUACGUAACAAACACAUUUCUUGGUUUACAUACUUUACUAAUACGCUCAUCAUCGUAUUGAUGGUCCUUUAGAUAUUAUGCUUAUGCAAAAGAAAGCAGUCUAGCAGUUGCAGGCGUAAAUUACCCUCCACUACCUCCAAAAACCCGUCAACCUUUGAAGCAUUCAAUAUUUCGAAAAAAAGAAAUGUAUCGAUACAAGUAAUUACCAGAUAAAAGACUUAGGAAUUAUGUUCGAUCGUGAAUUGAACUUCAAAUCUCAUAAUGAGUAUAUUAUAGCUAAAUCACUCAAGAUGUUGGGCUUCAUCAAUAGAUCAUGUAAGGAAUUCAGUUUGAACACUCUCAAGUUAUUAUAUUGUUAAUUAGUUAGAUCAUUAUUGGAGUACGCUUCAAUAAUUUGGUGCCCAUAUGAAAUACACAUAAACCAAAUUGAAGCUGUACAAAACACUUUCCUGAGGAUCUGUGCAUACAAGUUAGGUCUAAGAAGGGGAGAAUAUGCAUACAACAUUAGAAAUCAGAUGAAUCUAUUAUCUUUAAAGAAUAGAAGAAUUAUUUUAGAUGUAUGUUUUUUAAGCAAAAUUUUAACUGGCAACAUCAACUGUGAGGAGAUUUUAUCUUUAAUUAAUCUGAAUGUCAACAGAUAGACCAGAACCAGUACCAAAACAUUU
rnacentral:lncRNA from 1 species